ACGAGAGGACCGGGAUGGACGUACCUCUGGUGUACCAGUUGUCCUGCCAAGGGCAUGGCUGGGUAGCUAUGUACGGAAUGGAUAAGCGCUGAAAGCAUCUAAGCGCGAAGCCAACUUCAAGAUAAGAUUUCCCACCGCAAGGGUAAGACCCCAGAAAGACUAUCUGGUUGAUAGGUCGAAGGUGUAAGUGCAGCAAUGUAUUUAGCUUAUCGAUACUAAUAGGUCGAGGACUUGACCAAU
rnacentral:rRNA from 1 species